GGGGGGGGGGGGGGGGCAAUGUGACAGAAGCGGAUUUCAUCUACAUUCUCCUCCAAUUCCACUUAAUACUAUUGAUGAAAUACGUUUGGUCUGAAUUAUGUAAAUUAAAAAUGAUCGCAAAUAAUUUGUAGAUUAAUGGAAAUACGUGUACCUUAAUUGCUCCAUGAUAUCAACAAGAUCGCCAAACAAAAAUUGUAAUUAAAAAUAACUUUCAGGGUAGGAAAUGUCAUCGAAUUUUGAGAUGUAGUGUCGCCGCUUGAGUUAUCGCUCUUUGAUUGUGUGUUUGUGCGGCAGCUGUACAUAUUACAGAAUCUGAAAUGUUUGAGUUUAGUGGAACGAACUUCAGUUAUUAUUGUACACGGGCUGUGAGUCAGUAGAUACACCUGUAAUAAAAAUAGUAUUUUUUAAUUUAUUGAACUAAAAUUGAUCUUUAAGUACAACAUGGUCAAAUAUAAGAGCAUUUCAUUGAUAGUUUGAAAUUAAUGUACAGUAUUAUUUAGAUUUCCUGGCUAUUAAGUUUGAAAAUGCAGAUCGAAAGUUGGGCGUUUUCCCCCUUAAUUAAAGCAAUGGAAGCGAAAGAUGAAAAUGUGAAGAUAACGAACAGUGAUCAAUUUCAUAAGUCCCAAAUUAAGAGUUGGGCUGACACGGACCUCUAGACAUACUAGAGGUGUAGUCAGGUGCCUAAGAGGAGUAAGCAUCCCCUGUCGACCAGUCACACCCAUCAUGAGCCUUUUUCAUGUAUCUUGGUCAGGUAAACGGAGAAAUCCGUAGUGAAAAUCAGUAUGUAAAGAACGGCUUAACAAUUGAAACAUCAGACGGCAUUCGGCCUAACGACAGGCUGUAUUUGCAUAUCUAAGAUUAUUAUCACGACCAUAGAAUUUGCGAAAUGCUAAUUUUAAACGAGGCAGUUGAAACCCCUCUAUCAUCAACUUAUUUGCCAGUAGGCUGCUUCGAUUUAAAAAUUGAUCAUACUCAUUAAGAAAAUAGUUUGCAUGUAACACUGUUGUGGAAGAUAAGUCGGCGUAUUGAAUAGCGAUUGUCGUUGACUUAUAAGGAAUUCGACAUUGGGAACUGACAUAUAAUAUAAUAGUUACAUUUCCAAUCUUUUUGUCUUUGAUAUCUCUUUAUAUUGUAUUGAUACAUGUAGCCGUUUCUUUAUGAAUGCACUGUAGUCGUGAACCUGUGCGUGUGAAUCUUGGUAGACAUAUUACGUCUGUUCUAACGGCUGGGGAUUUCCACAGAAUUGAAAGUUCUGUAGAGUGUAGAUUUAUAAUAAAGUAAAUUGCAUUUUUGAAAAUGCACGAGGGUAUGGACCGCACGCUUCACGGCAGCCUACCCUUUUUGAAGCCAACACACGUCAUGAAGUAUGCCCAGCCGGCGUGAAGCGUCACAGUUCGUACCCUCGUGUACGUAUUUUCUAAAAUGAAAUUUACUUGAGUAUUUUCAAUUUGUUACAACUUUUCAUUCACACAAUUUGAAAGAUUUGGGAGUGUAGGCGCACUUCAAUAGGAAGCUGUUCUGAUCAUUACAGAUGAUGUAUAUAUGUACAUAUUGAAUUUGUGGCCCUGUACAUGUAAAGGCACUGCUAUCACGUGCGCUGGGGAUCUGUACAACUUACUGUGGAGUCUUAUAAUGGCAUCUCAUUUAUAAAGACGAGUUUGUCUGAUGGGAUUAGAGCUACAUUUGCAUGGGAGGUAUAGACCGUUAUGCUAAAACUGGCUUAUGACCCCCCCCCCCCUAGAGGUCAGAGGUCAAACAUAUCCUCCUCUGGAAGCCUAUUCUCUUCACCUGCACCUCUGUGAGUCACGGGCGGCGAUCCGCUCCUUUUCGUUUGCAUUGGGCAAUGAUGAAUAGGGGAGUGGAUCGUCAAUCCUGAUUAGUGACGAUGCUACUUGCAGCAAUGUUGAGACAGCAUUUUAUUAAAGUGAUGAUCCUUACGAGGAAUAUCCUGUCGUGUUCCAGACGCCACUUGCGCGCAUGUGCAGGGUAAUAUAUAUGUACAAGUAUAUACCCACAAUUAGUUGUAAGGAAAUAAUGAAGACUCACACCCUCUCCUAGAAGGCGAUAAUUGUCAAUUUGGAAAAUAUGAAUGGACUCGUGUAAAUGCCACUAGAGCAGAAAUGACUUGUAAGUUGUAUAUUCAUUUGAUUACCAGCAGUAAUUCAUAUCAAGAAUUACGUAAACGUGCUUAGUUUUGGCGACAUCAAAAAUUAACUCUUGAAGAAGUAAAUUCGCCCAGUUCGCAAUUCGAUUUACAUAUUUGUAUAUUCUAAUGGACAAGUAUAUAGGCCUAUAGUCAUAUUACAAAACAAAGUGUAUCUAUAGACUGAGGUUUUAAUUUUAAUCGACCCCCCCCCCUCCCCCAGGGUUGGUGUUGAGACACUUGAUGGGACCGAAAUCUUUUAUUCAGGGUAAACAACAUUUUGUGAGUUUGUUGAUAUUCGUGUGGACUGACUAUUCUGUAUGUUUACGAUAGUCAUACCGAUAGCUGUAAAUUGUUUAUUAUAAGGAGAACACAAUUUCAUACAUCUUAAUUUUUCAACAUUAAUUUUUACAUAUUAAAAGUCCUUGCAAGAUCUUUCAUGGCAUCUUAUGCUAAAGGAUCUUUGAUACGAUAAAAUACGAUUGAUUGCGAAUAAUAAAAAAUAAUAAACACCCAAAUUUCAAGCGCAAAGUACAAAAAUGGCAUUAACCUGAAUGUUUAUGCACUUGAACAAUUCAUUAUGAAUCUAUAAACUUUUGCACGCAAUGAAUUACUCUAAUUAAAUCUAAUUGAUGUGCUAAAUUAGCGUUCGAAUGAAUUACAUAUUCUUGGAAUACCACGGAUUCUUACAUGACAUUAAUUCGUUUCAAUCAUAACAAUAUAUUAAUUCAAAAGUGCGCAGUACUGGACCAAAUAUAUACAUACCGAAUUGUCACAAAAUGAACUGGAAAGUAAACAAUAAAACAAAAGCUUAUUGUGACGUCAUUGUAGAUCUUAAAGCUAGUCUAGCAUUAGAUUUAGGCAAAUCUAUCGAUAUCGCGUUAUCAGUCUUUUCUUGUGGAAACAUUGUCCAAUCAAGGAAUUUUACAGUACCAUAUCAAAACAGAAAAUCAAAUAAAGGGUUGAAGAAAAGCAAACGAAAAUAGCAGGAGAGCUGGUUCUUUAAUCCUGGAGUGAAGUUGACAGAUGACAGCUUAAGUUGGGAGGAAAAAUCUUUUCGCUUUAUUAACGCAAACUCGGUAUUUUGGGUCUCUUUGGGAGCAAACUGAAGAGUAAAGAUAAGAAAAACGCCAUUUCUCAAGCCUGCGUUAUCCCCAGUCAUCAAUCUCUACUGGUCCCCAUUUGCAUAUUCUUAAUGCACGUUGAUCUCCAAAAAUGACCGAUAACGUCGCAUGGCCCGAGCUUAUCUUUGCACAACGGGCCCGCGAAACAAAGCGAGGCAUUGUUCGCGAUGUAAUAUAAUUCUCCUACGAAGGACCUCCGGAUUAAAGGCCCAAUAACGUCCGUUUAACUGCGUCGUUACAUGGCUCGAUCUCCACUUCCGUUCUGCAUAAAGUUGCUGAUGCUGUCUGCGAGGUGACGUUUAAUUCAUUGUCUUUUUGGCCUCCUAUUGCUUUUUUAUUGUCCUACUGACUAAAAGAUAAAAAACGUGUUUUUCCAAUGACAAGUCAUUGAGCCACACGAAUUAAUGAAAAGUCGUCAAAAACCUUCUAGGAAAAAAAAAUGUCGAUGUAAAUAACACCCCCACCAAAACUUAUCCGUCCUGACAUUAUAUAGCAAACAAUUUUUUUUUAGUGGUCCAUGAUGAUUAUUUUGCAAUGCAGCAAGCCUUUGAAAUAUUUUCCCCUCUCAUAUGAUAUCUGACGAACCACACUUUAGUCAUAAAUACUAUUAACACAAUCCGUGCCUCGGGUCCAUCAAAUGUUAUCAGUUCUAACACACACAACCAGUGUGACGGACUUUUUAGACAAUAAUCCAAUUAAACCGAUUUGGAAACCCAUACUGCUAUCUUGUAAAUACUUUUAUGGGAUAAAUAGCAACCCAUGGGGUGGAAAUGAAUGGAGACCAAUCCCCACAGGGCGCGAAUACGGGCGAGUCACUUACUUAACAGCGUCACUUACCCUUCUGUCAAUAACACACGCGCUGUCUCGUAGAUGUUGGCGCUUUUGCACGUGUCAGUGUGGCGCUGUUGUCUUCCUGUCCUGCUUUUACCCAUUUCCGAUAUUGUUCUAAGAAUUUUCUGGGGUCAAUUCUAUUUUCUUGAGAAGACAGACUGACACUUGCACGCUUGUUUGACGGAAAAUCUUGACAGAAUUUAAAGAACACAGACAUUACAUGGCCGCUAGGUCUCCGUGACCAGAGACAUAUGUAUAGUAUGUUAUGCAUGUCUAAGCUAUGACCGAGUCCAUUCCUUGAUUCUUUUCUAAGCUUUAUUUAGGAUCUAAUGAGGUCAAUCAAAUGUAUGAUGAAACCAGAAACAAAACUGAAAUAAAACUUCAAAACUUAUAAAUAUUUUGGAGUCGUGCGAAUUUUACCUUCAGGACAUGUCUUGUGAAAUUUCACGUGAAACUAAAGCAGCCAUCCAUACUUCUUGAAACCGUGUUAGAAGAUGGGGUUUAAUUGAUUACUAGCUUCGAAAUAGCGGGCUUUGAUAAAGAUGUUUGUACAGAUGUACAAAAUGGCUGGUAUUAAAUUGUCGUCUUUUUCAUGUGUUCCCCUGACUUGUUUUUAUACUUGUCAGUCUGUUUUAUGGAUGACGCUAAUAACCCCUCUUCAGUUUGACCAUUUAGACGAAAUUUGGUGUUAAAUGAUAUAAAUACUCUUUGUAGGAAUCAGUUCUGACAUCGUCGAACGGUGGGUGGUGAUUGGUUACAAUGCAGUCUGUAAUUUUCCAAUUUGAUUGGUUUAUUCUGCUUGAAUGACCUUGACCCUUGCCGUAGGCAGAUGACAGCUGUUAUCAUGUCCGCCUUCACACAAACGACUCUGUCAAUUUGCUGAUUCUAUUUCCAUUUUAUUUUCGUUUUUGUCUUUAAUCAGUGAUAAAGGGAAUGUGUCUUAUGACUUCAGCCAAAAAAAAAAAAAAAAAAAAAAAAAAAUCGAAAUUAAACCAAACUAAGCCACGCUGAUAACAAGAAGACCUAUGAUUUUACUUUUAUGCGCAUGUAUAAUUCUUUUAAAGAGCUGCACAUGUACAAAAAUGAAACGUUUAAUUUGAAAUCAACUAUCCGAUAAAAAUAAAGGAGAAAAUGGUCAUCAACAGUUUGUCAUCAUGUUUGCUAUAUUUUUUCGAUCAAUCUACCAUAAAAUAAAAUAAUAAUAACACAAUAGCUUAUUGUAAUUUCUUUCAGGAUUAUUCUGUUGUGGUUAUUUUCUAAGGAUGUGAAAGAAUGUUACUCAAGUUACCAAAAUAGCUCAUUGGCUGUCAGUAUUUGCACAUCUGACCAAAAAUAAAAUUUAUUUUUCUACCUAGGUUUCUGAAAAUGAUAUAUAAUGAUUGAUCACAAAGUAAGAAAAUCUACUUAUCAAUAUUUUGAAUUUAGGUCGAGGAAGAAACAUACCCAUUCCAUCUGAAAGACAUUCAUUUCUUUAUUCUUGACCCAAAAGAGAGAAAAUUAAAAGAAAAACAAAAUCUAAAAAAACCUGUUUAAAAUAGGAAGAUAAUUUUUAACUUCAUAGAAAUAGAAUAUUUGAGUGUAUUUACAUAUGUACAUUAAAUGUUGUUUUCCAAUCAACCUACCAAUGUACAACAUAUAAUUAUAUGUAUAACACAGAACCUAUAAUUAUAUGUAUAAUACAAAACCUAGCCGAGGUGUCCAUUUCAAACUUUCCCCAUUCCAGGAGAAAGUAAUGUCAAAAUCUCCCCAGCAUUUUAGAGAUUAUUCUGUAGGUGAUAUUUGUAACACAUUUACACACUGUUCUAAAUGUAAAGUUAUAGGUCAAUUGAGGGUACGGAGGUGACCCGUGUUUCAGGUCUCUUAUGUGCGUCUGUCGUGACUGAGAGCGUUGUACGUUAAUAACAAUUUUUCAAAUUCUACUGCGUCAAUAUUAACCAAAAUAAGCCUUUAGAAUUACAUUAUGUAUUACAGAGGGGGAACAAAAUUGUAAAUUUCACCCCCUACAAUAAAACAGAAGGUAAAGCCACCUCUUUUGUCAGACUUUUAAUGUGUGAUCCGAGACGUUGUUUUUAUGUGUAUUUAUUAAUUCCCCUCUAGAACAUUUAUGCCAGUAGUCUUUUAGCUUUUAUUCAUUUUUAUUUAUUCUUUUAAGUGUGACGCUGUUUUAGAAAUCGGGUAUUUUUAUUUGUAUUUAUUAUUUGGGGGAUUUGUUGUUUGUAAUUUUAGUAAACUGUAAAGCUCUUUCGAGUACUGUUUAGAUAAGGCGCCAUAUUAUCAUUAUAAACCUUCUUUACUUCGGACAAUCUGUACAUAGUCAUGAUAUAAGUAAGGAUUCCUUAUAUGCUUAUGAAAUUCAUAGCCAUUGAAUUACUUUACAUCUUUUAAGAUCGCCUUCCUGACUUUUCUUGAACAACCAACACAUAGAACAUAGUGAUGAUGAGGAAAUCAUUCUCUAUCAAAAUUGUUAAAUUCAUGACCCGUGGUUAGGGAUUCUGUUAUCGGGCGGAAUUCUGUUCGUUUAGUGAAAAUAUAUUAUUUGUUUAAAAUCUUCUUUCUGAAUUUUGGACAUGAGAAAAAUUAAACUGACAGUAUGCAAAAAUUAACGGAGACCGAUAGACUAAAGAAUAAAUAGUCUUGUAAAUGCAUAUUCAAAAUCAAGUUCUAAAUCUGUCUCAUGAAAUACAAAUAUAGAGUACAAUUAAAAAAAAGGGAUACUUGUUACUUUGUAGCUGAUCUGCAGUAAAUCAAUCAGGUCUCUAGAUUUCGAACCAAUUGUCCAUAGUACAGAAAAGUAAAGAACCAGAGCCACAUAGUACAGAAAAGUAAACGCACAUUGAACUGAGUAACGUACUAGCAGUAAUAAGGAAGGAGACAUCUACCAGAACUGUAAAUUUGAUGACCUCGGGGUCGGGGAAUUUUAUGAUCGGACGAGACUUUAUGGUUCAUUAGUGAAAAUUUUAAGUUCCUCUGAUGUCCAGAACGCCGGACAUCCAGGAAGGCCUCUAUUGGGUAUAUGUUGAAGCCUCGAAAAAUACCGACUUCAAGGUUAUGAGAAACUAGAAAACCAACUUUGUAAAAUUCCUGGUCCCUGGUUGAAGAGUUCAUUCCCCUGUUAGGGUUCUACAUAUUGCAUAGGGGGGAAACCCCCAACAAAUGUUAAAAAUCUUCUCUUUAUUCGCUGUUGAACAUAGAGCAAACAAGUUUUGUCCGCAGUAUAAGUCUCCGUCAAUAAGGCUUAAACACAAUGUAUUGCUGUUUGUCUAUCUAUCUGUUUUCUGUACGUCCAUCCUACGUCUUUCUUUAUAUAUCGUUUUACGUUUCAUUUAUAUAGUGACGUCACCAGCAUUAGAAGUGCCACCAUUCCUGACUUAUGCAUGACGCUGAAGACGGUAGCAGUGAGGAUUCUUUAUCGUGCCAACGUCUUAUUUCAUUUCUAAUACCGGUCUCUUUGCGAAGGAGCGUUCACGACUAAUGCUUAAACGGAAUAGUUUGGACGCGAUGCCGGGAUCGAGAAUCGAACCCAGGACUAGUCUCGCUUUCCCCAGACUCUCGCUCUGGAGACUUUGCACAAGCUCGUACAAAGUCUCGAGAGCGAGAGUCUGGGGAAAGCGAGACUAACCCCGGACUUCCGGUUACAAAGCGAGCGUAUACUAAACUUUACCCAACCGCGACCGCUUCACCCAGUUUUGUUUUUGACCACAACUUUGUAUACUAGUACGUGAGAAACAUUAGAAGCUUAUACUUGGGGCAAAUGUUGCUUAUAAAUACAUAUAUUUACAUUCACUGAAUCUUUUCUCUUAUAUUUCUUUUGAAAUUGACAUUGCUUUUAUCAUGGAGUAAAUACAUGUUUGUUGCAAAUUAGUUCCAUCCGGUUUUCUAGUACUGCCUGUCUGCAAAAUCAUUACCAAAUAUGAAGUGUCAUCAAGGUCAAAGGGUGCAUUGGCUGUUCCAUGGGUCAACCACAUGAUAUUUUAGAUCUUAAUUCUAGUUCAUAUUUCUAAAUAAUGCAUAAAAAAUAUGAAUAUAAGCAAUAUAAUGUCUUUCUUUGUUGUUUCAUUUUUGGGUGAUGAAGGUUGGAAUCAUUGCAGAAAGAAUUUACAUAACCCGCUUACGCUUACGCGGGUUGUGCAUUUUUUUCUGCAAUGCAAGCUACCUUCAUCACCUGAUGAAACAACAAAGAAAACAUUUUAUUGUUUAAGUAACCAGAUAACCCUGAAAGAAGGUGAUUUGUCCAAGGUCAAGGUGAAAACAAAUGUCUAAGCAUAGUUUCCCUUUCGAUCUCGAAGUUGCAAAGUUACACCAUCAAUAUACAAAACUUCUACAUGUAAUACUUCUAUACUUUUAUUUUGAUUACGGAUUACUCCGUUUACCUGAUCAAAAUACAGGGCUCGUGGUAGGUGUGACUGGUCAACAGGGAAUGCUUACUCCUGCUAGGCACCUGAUCCCACUUCUGGUACAUGUAUGUCCAGAGUCCGUGUUUACCCACUUAAGUUUGUAUUCCUUGUGAGAGUUAUGAGAUUGAUCGCUGUUCGUUAUCUUCACCUUUCCAUGUAAUACAUGGAAUUUUUUCUAUUUGUGAUACUUGAGUCACUUUUAAGGCUGAUUGGGUCUCUUGUUCAGAAUUCAUGUUGAUUUGGGAUGGCGUUAUUAGUAGAGCCGACAUUAAUUUAUCAUGGACAUCAUCACACAGAAUCAGUACGGGAAGUGAUGGUCACUACUAUAAGAGUCCCUGUCUAAGACUCUUUAACAGACCCCUCGAACUCAUUCCUACAACAAUGGUGCCAUUGUGGUACUACACACAGUCCAAUUUCCAAGUUUCCUCGUUGUCUUGUCAAAAUCAACCGAAGACGAAAUCGGGCGACGAAUGACCGCUUCUUCGGAAUAAAACAUGACCUCGGAAACUGGCAAUCUUCCAGCAGUGGAUUGGAUCCGGAACUAUGGCAAUACCGCCGACCCUAUAGUCAACUCUACAAAUAAAAAGAUGUAAGAGUGCUCGGUGUCUUAGUCCACUUCUCGGCUAUCUCGUAUGUAGAGUGUUGACAUGGAAAGUUCUCUUUUUAAUAUAAAUUAUGGUGUGUGUAGUUAGCCUUGAUAUUCUGACACCAUGCAGUGCCUGGACCCGGUGAAUAGUAGGUCUUGUAGACAUGCAGUGCCUGGACCUGGUGAAUAGUAGGUCUAGUAGACAUGCAGUGCCUGGACCCGGUGAAUAGUAGGUCUAGUAGACAUGGCUUCUCAGUAGGUCACACGAGUUUUCAGUCCAUCCUGUGACUGAAUAUGAGGUGAGAAUGUACAAUAACCAGACUACACUGAUUACGAGGGCCUAGGGUACAGGUUAACAGUGUUUGUGUUGUGACCCGACAGCGCACAUCAUAAGCAAGGUGUUCGUAUGUAAAUUCAUUGUCCUCAGCUUCGUGUGCCUUUUGCCUAUGAUGUGUUUUAUGUAUUCACAAUCAAAUUAUUGUUUAAAUUAAAGCAGAAUGUUUAUAAAGCAAUAAAUACUGCAUCUGUUAACAACAA